UCCAGACUCCUACGGGAGGCAGCAGUGGGGGAUAUUGCACAAUGGGGGAAACCCUGAUGCAGCGACGCCGCGUGUGGGAAGACGGUCCUCUGGAUUGUAAACCACUGUCCCCAGGGACGAAGAUGACGGUACCUGGGGAGGAAGCUCCGGCUAACUACGUGCCAGCAGCCGCGGUAAUACGUAGGGAGCGAGCGUUAUCCGGAUUCAUUGGGCGUAAAGCGCGCGUAGGCGGCCUGUUAGGUCGGGGGUCAAAUUCCGGGGCUCAACCCCGGUCCGCCCCCGAUACCGGCAGGCUUGAGUCUGGUAGGGGAAGGCGGAAUUCCCAGUGUAGCGGUGGAAUGCGCAGAUAUUGGGAAGAACACCGGCGGCGAAGGCGGCCUUCUGGGCCACGACUGACGCUGAGGCGCGAAAGCUAGGGGAGCGAACAGGAUUAGAUACCCCCGUAAC
rnacentral:rRNA from 1 species